rnacentral:lncRNA from 1 species
GAGUAGAGGAGAAGAUAAUCUUAACAAGUGAUUGACCUAAAUAUAAAAAGAGAGGUUAAGAGUUAUAAGAGUCAGUAUUGCUGAACGUGGAAAAGAAAGAAAAGAGGAGCACAUGAGGAGAAACCCUAGUGACAGCAAGGUCAAGCCACAAACUGGAAUUUUCGAAGGAUUCGAGGUAAGGGGGACAAUCUCUUUACUUUAGGGUAUCUUAUUAUUUGAUGGGAGGGUUGUCUUAAAUCUUAAUAUGUUGUUGUUGUUAUGCUGUGAAUUUUGAUGAAGGAAUAAUGAUGAACAAAUUAAAAGAUAAAGUUGAAAGAUGAGAAUUGAGGAAACUAGUUUAGGUUUUUAAAAUGAGUUUUUAGCCGUAAAAAGAGUAGAUAAUUUGGUAGGUUAAUGAAGAAUUACUGUUUGGAUGAUAUGAUAAUCAUGGGGUGACAAUUAGGAACAAGUUUAAUGAGUUUAAGGUCGAAAAGUGGAGUCGAGGAGGCUCCCAUGGUGGAACAUCGUAAAAAUUUGUGAUUUCUGCAUAAACUGGUGCUGUUAAAAUCACGUCGCUAUUUUACAAAUCAUGUAGAGAUUUUGAGAGUAGUAGCAAAACAUCAUUUUGGGAAUAAAAUCAUGCCACGAUUUGCAUAAACAUUACACGAUAUUGUGAGACCAUUUUCAUCGUACUUUGCUGUUUUUAACACCCCUUGACCAUCUAAAAUUGUUGUAGACUUGAUAUUAACAUCGAAUUAAGUUAUGUGAGUACAAUAAUUAGGCGAGGGAAGUAUGAUUAAGUGUUGUUUAGAAGUGAUACCUUUCGAGCAAUGGUGAGUCUAAGAUAGUUCAUGGUAGUUAACGACGACAAAGAUGGGUCUAAGAUAAUUGUGAGAUAGAAGAAUAUAAGAUUAAAAUAAAUGAAGAAUAGGGUACGAUCAUUUAAUAUAAUCAAUGAUGCAAAGAGAACUAGUGAUGAAAGAUGAACAUCUUAAUUUAAAAUAAAAGAAGUGAUCUCUAGGUAAGGGGGUAUGAUUGGAUGUUAAGGGAAGUUUCCUUAAAGUCAAGAUGAGGACUAACUAGAAAGAUGUAGUAAUGAAGAGAACAAAUGACGAGAGUAGAUUUUAAAAUGCAAUAUUGAUUAAUGAAGGAAUGGAAUAUGUAUAAUAAUUGUUGAACGACGAUGAUGAAUGAUGUAAUAAAUGAUGCAUGUGAAUGACGAGUAAUGAUGUUGUCAUACCUUGUUUAGGGUGACGAGUGAAUGAUGAAGUGAGUUAUGUUGUGAGUAGGAGUUAA